GCCGGGCGUGGUGGCGUGCGCCUGUAGUCCCAGCUGCUUGGGAGGCUGAGGCAGGAGAAUCGCUUGAACGCGGGAGGCAGAGGUUGCAGUGAGCUGAGAUCGUGCCACUGCACUCCAGCCUGGGUGACAAAGCGAGACUCUGUCUCAA
rnacentral:SRP_RNA from 1 species